UUGCACCUAGCCUCACCUGAGGGCUUUUUAAAACACAUAACAACAUGCAAUUACUCAAAUCUGAAUAAGUUUAUCCACAACAAUACGAUUUGAAGUUCUACCAUAUUAUAAAAUAAAAAACAAGUCAUCAACAUGAUGCCUUGGUGCAGUGCAUGCCAUACAACAGAACAGUUAUCCUAUAUAAACUCAUGCAAGAUUCGAUUGUAUUCAUAGUCAUCACAGGUUAUACGAUACCAGAACUGACGAUAAAUAUUUGAUGUGGUUGGAUUUCUAUGUUACAAGCACAAGAGGUGAAGUUUCAAUCUACAUACGUAACUAAUCAAAGGGGUCAAUGCGUGGAUCAUGUUCGCUUGCCAUAGCCAUUCCUGUACAAAGACAAGUUGGGCACAUAACCUGCAAAAGUCAGAUGUUAACAUGCAUAAUUUAGUACGCAAAUAGACCAAUCGCAUAUGAUUAAAAUAAUGCAUGCUUACUUUUCCUGCACCGGAACAGUUGGAACAUCUUUCAGUUUUAGGCGGCAACUAAAGUCCCCUCUAUAAGCUUUCAUUGUAACACAUGGAAAAAUUGAAAUAGGAUUGCAAAAAAAAUAGAAUUCCUCUCUGAGAAAUUGACAUAAUAAAUCAUCUAGCGGGUCAUAAUGGUGACACCUUACGGAAACCCCUCAUCGUUUAUCUAUGGGAAGGUCAUAAGGAAUGAGCGAAAUCAAUACCAACAACACGUUUUUGAUGCCUUGGUUGAGGAUGAGAGAAAAACUCAAAGAUAUAAGUGUGCCCGGGUGGGGAGUGUUUCAAGAUGAGCGGUCUUCUUCCAAAACAGACAAUAUUGGAUGGCAUGAGAAGUUGGAUGGGCAAACCUCAUCGAGAACGAUGAGUCUCUAAGGUGUAGUUGUGACCGUUUACACAAAUCCACAUCAAUAGUCUACAAGAGAGAUAUCGGUUCAUAAAAAAUAUCUCACCCCGAAUAUCAUCAACGUGUUUUGGGCGUUAGGUUGAGUGGAACUAAACACUUACACGUGUUAGGGGACGUUUUAGGAUGGGGACCUCCUGAUAAGUCUUCACUCAUGUAAUCAGAAAUACGAAAGGCGGUUGUUACAACAAUAAUGUCCACCAACCACAACAUACAAGUACAAUUAAAAAGUUUCAGCAUCAAUAACCUUAGUUUCUAUUAUCAAGUCUAUUCAACGCAACAUAAGAACACACACAACAAUACAUAUCCAAAAUUAGAGAAACCUGCUCACCUCCUCCAUAUGCAAAAAUAUCUUAUUCCGACGACUCCUAAUAUUAUCCUGAAUUUCCUGUAU
rnacentral:lncRNA from 1 species